GUUAGGUGUGUUGGUGCGCACCUGUAAUCCCAGCUACUUGGAGGCUGAGGCAGUAGGAUCACAAGUUCAUGAUCAGCCUAAGCCACUUAGUGAGACCCUAUCUCAA
rnacentral:sRNA from 1 species